rnacentral:rRNA from 1 species
AGCGAACGCUGGCGGCAGGCCUAACACAUGCAAGUCGAACGAACUCUUCGGAGUUAGUGGCGGACGGGUGAGUAACACGUGGGAACGUGCCUUUAGGUUCGGAAUAACUCAGGGAAACUUGUGCUAAUACCGAAUGUGCCCUUUGGGGGAAAGAUUUAUCGCCUUUAGAGCGGCCCGCGUCUGAUUAGCUAGUUGGUGAGGUAAAGGCUCACCAAGGCGACGAUCAGUAGCUGGUCUGAGAGGAUGAUCAGCCACAUUGGGACUGAGACACGGCCCAAACUCCUACGGGAGGCAGCAGUGGGGAAUCUUGCGCAAUGGGCGAAAGCUUGACGCAGCCAUGCCGCGUGAAUGAUGAAGGUCUUGGGAUUGUAAAAUUCUUUCACCGGGGACGAUAAUGACGGUACCCGGAGAAGAAGCCCCGGCCAACUUCGUGCCAGCCGCCGCAGUAA